UACGGAGGGGGCAAGCGUUGUUCGGAAUUACUGGGCGUAAAGAGCGUGUAGGCGGUUUAGUAAGUUGGGAGUGAAAGCCCAAAGCUUAACUUUGGAAUUGCUUCCAAAACUGCUAGACUAGAGAGAGGUAGGGGAUAGCGGAAUUCCUAGUGUAGAGGUGAAAUUCGUAGAUAUUAGGAGGAACACCGGAGGUGAAAACGGCUAUCUGGGCCUUAUCUGACGCUGAGACGCGAAAGCGUGGGGAGCAAACAGG
rnacentral:rRNA from 1 species